rnacentral:rRNA from 1 species
AUGGUUGAUAUCGAGAACCCGCCUGCUCCCAACAACAGUUCUGCCAUAGAUGCCGCCGACGGCGGCGACGACGCGGCGAUGGCGGAGCCAAGCCGGCACAGCUUCUGUGCGUGGAAAGAGAGGUUCAUCAUCCGGUUCCGUACCAAUGACCAUCCUGACGUCGGAGAGGAGGUCGCGGCGGUGGACGCUGAUCAACUUAGCAGACAUAUCUUCGUAUAUGGGGGCCUUCUGGUCGUGCUCGUGAUCAUCGCCGUCUCCGUGGUCAUGCUGGUGCUCGUCCAUCGACAGUCGCACUCCACCGCCGGAUUGGUGGUGUACGUUGUCACGCGCAUCCUCGGGUUCUCGGGCCUGGUCGUCGCGGUAUGCUGGGGCGCCUUUUUUGUUCACCUUGCAGACGCGAUGGCUGAGGGGGAUAAAGAGGCAGAGGGGGUUGUAGACUGGUUAAUGUAA